rnacentral:rRNA from 1 species
UAUAAAGUCUGACCUGCCCAAUGAGGAUUUGAAUGGCCGCGGUAUUUUGACUGUGCAAAGGUAGCAUAAUAAUUAGUUUUUUAAUUAAAAGCUAGAAUGAAUGGUUGGACGAGGGAAUUUCUGUCUUAAUUUAAAUUGAAUUAGAAUUUUAUUUUUAAGUAAAAAAGCUUAAAUGUAUUUAAAAGACGAGAAGACCCUAUAGAGUUUUAUAGUUUUUAUAUUAAUUAUUUUAAAGUGUGAAUUUAUUACUAUAGUAACUAUUUUAUUGGGGUGAUAGAAAAAUUAAUUUAACUUUUUUUUUGUAUUAAAACAUUGAUUUAUGAUUGAAUGAUCCAUUAUUUAUGAUUAUAAGAUUAAAUUACCUUAGGGAUAACAGCGUAAUUUUUUUUUAGAGUUCUUAUCAAGAGAAAAGUUUGCGACCUCGAUGUUGGAUUAAAAUAAAUAUUUGGUGUAGAAGCUGAAUAGUUAGGUCUGUUCGACCUUUGAAAUUUUACA